rnacentral:lncRNA from 1 species
GUUCUUCUAAGGCAGGUGGGCAGAUAUUUGUGUGAUAGCAGUUUCUAACAUCCGCUCUGAAAGCAGCAGCUGCAGGGAGGAUGCAUGAAGCCCAAACAUCAUAUCACGUUACGUAUUGCUGGUCAUAAAUGGAUGGAUAUUGCCGUAAUAUUCUGUUAGCGCCUGUGCGAAAACUAGCUCCUUUGCUCUCAUCUAUCUGCCGCCGUGCGUGGUGCGCUCGCUUUCGUUGUUUUCGCUGCCUCCGUGGGGAUGAUGAUGAGCGAGUGCAUGUCUUCCAAUAUUAAAAUUUCGGACCUUUCGUGGGUUCCUACUUUCCAGCUGCUGGUCCGUCCAGCACUGGCUUAUUAGGGCUUUCGUUCGACCGACCUUGCGCAGCGGCCGUGUUGUACGGCACUAUUGGGGGCGCCACUGUGACGUACAACAGCAGGGAUAGACAGCAGCAGCAGAUGUAUCUUGUUCUGGGCAAAAAACAAGAUACUGGUAGGCGCGGCGGCGCCGUGUUGUUGAAAUUUUCUUUGCCAUAGCUCCUGGGUACCCUGGUGGAUUCAAAAGCAGUACGGGUAAGUGUGUAUUUGAAUGGACUCCUCAGCCAGUGUAAGACGUGUAUCAUCAUCAUCAUUUGAAUUGACUCAUCAGCCAGUGUAAGACGUGUAUCAUCAUCAUCAUCAUCAUCAUUUGAAUUGACUCAUCAGCCAGUGUAAGACGUGUAUCAUCAUCAUCAUCAGCAGGGUCUAAACCCCCUUCACACAUAC